rnacentral:rRNA from 2 species
CAAGGAGUCCUGCUGCCGUGCGAGUCGACGGGUUGGAAACCCCGCCGGCGCAGCGAAAGCGAAGACCGCGAUCCCGCAUCCACCUACGGGCGGGUGCGUGGCGCAGCGGCCGCCUCUCCUGCGGGAGGGAGUGGGAGCACGUCGGCAGGGACCCGAUAGGUGGUGAACUAUGCUCGGGCAGGACGAAGGCCGAGGAAACUCGGCUGGAGGUCCGAAGCGGUUCUGACGUGCAAAUCGAUCGUCCGACCCGAGUAUAGGGGCGAAAGACCAAUCGAACCGCCUGGUAGCUGGUUCCCUCCGAAGUUUCCCUCAGGAUAGCUGUCGCUCCGUGCAGGAGUCUCGAUCCCGUAGAGAGAAUGAUCAGAGCGAUUCGGGGACGCCCGUGUCACUCGACCUCUCCUCAAACUGCGAAGGGUCGAGGUGGCCCCCUCUCCUGUCGGGAGGAGGGCACUCUUAGAAGGAUG